UGAACUUCUCGGCCUUUGGCUAAGAUCAAGUGUAGUAUCUGUUCUUAUCAGUUUAAUGGUUAUAUUUUUAAAUAGACUUAUUUUGGAGAGCUCAU
rnacentral:snRNA from 1 species